rnacentral:rRNA from 1 species
GAUGAACGCCGGCGGCGUGCCUAAUACAUGCAAGUCGAGCGAAUGGAUUAAGAGCUUGCUCUUAUGAAGUUAGCGGCGGACGGGUGAGUAACACGUGGGUAACCUGCCCAUAAGACUGGGAUAACUCCGGGAAACCGGGGCUAAUACCGGAUAACAUUUUGAACCGCAUGGUUCGAAAUUGAAAGGCGGCUUCGGCUGUCACUUAUGGAUGGACCCGCGUCGCAUUAGCUAGUUGGUGAGGUAACGGCUCACCAAGGCAACGAUGCGUAGCCGACCUGAGAGGGUGAUCGGCCACAAUGGGACUGAGACACGGCCCAGAAUCCUACGGGAGGCAGCAGUAGGGAAUCUUCCGCAAUGGACGAAAGUCUGACGGAGCAACGUCGCGUGAGUGAUGAAGGCUUUCGGGUCGUAAAACUCUGUUGUUAGGGAAGAACAAGUGCUAGUUGAAUAAGCUGGCACCUUGACGGUACCUAACCAGAAAGCCACGGCUAACUACGUGCCAGCAGCCGCGGUAA